GGUGCAGUGGCCUAAGGCACUGCAUCUCAGUGCUAGAGGCGUCACUACAGACCCUGGUUCGAUUCCAGGCUGUAUCA
rfam:Salmo salar isolate Sally breed double haploid chromosome ssa15, whole genome shotgun sequence.